AUCCCGCCCUCCCGAAGGCCUUGGAGCGCCGGCCAAUGAGGGGCGCCUCAGCGGUGCGUGGGGUUGGCAGAUUUGGUACUUCGCCAGCCGGUUGAGCAGCGGGGUGUGUCGCUUGGGGCUAGGGGGCGGUAGCUGUGACAACUAGGAAACCGAGAACGGAACUGCAACACUUUGCCUGGGCAAAGGGCUUGAACGGCAUCUGCUUUCAUUGCUGUUCUUUGAAAAACUCACGGGGCAGCGUUCUUCAUGACCGAACAGGCAUCUUGUGAUCCCUUAGGAAUGUGGAUUCAUUCGUUCCACAAGUAUUUCUAUGCUUAUAGAGGACAUUUGGUAUGCCAGGCUCUGUGCUAGGCACUGGAGGUAUCCUGAUGCAAAUAGACUUGAUAGCUGCCUUCACAGACUUUACAGUCUAAUGAGGAGGAACAGGGAGAAAACAAACAGUUUCAUAUCCAGAACCCCAGCUAGAGAAGCUAGGAGGGUAGAGGGAAAACAUUUUUUCUUCUCCUGCAAUAGAAUCGUCAAUCUUCCAGGGAUUAUUUAGUUGCUGAAUAUUAUACAAGGCUACCUAGAAAGAAUGAGAAAGAAAAAAACAAGUUUCCAACCCUUGAGAAGUGUCUUGGAAUCAUAGAAAAUGUACCUUGCUUGAGUCUGGAGGCUGGACUCCAACAUUGCUUUCGGCCGAAUGUGCAGCCUCAGACAAGUAGCUAACUUCACUGUGCCCCUGUUUCGUCAGAUGUAAAAUAGCACUAACUAUAACCUGCCCUGGCCACCUUACAUAAUUGCUGCAAGAAUUCAAUUAGGUAGAGAAGCAUGGCUUGAUGAGCAGUGUGUAGGUCUACACCCAAGAUCUGAACCCACGAACCCUGGGCCACUGAAGCAGAGCACAUGAACUUAACCACUACACCACCAGGCCAGACCCUGGAGGAUAUGUCUUCAGGACAUAUCUGUUCGUCAAGAAAUAUCUCCUGUCAAGCAGCCUUUGAAAGAGAUUGCGGCUCAUGAUCUGAGAUCCCAGAAACACUCUCUGUCGUAAUGACUAAAAAAUUAAAAUGGACAUCAAAAGCCCUGAAAGCUAAACGAAAAGACAACUUUCACUGAGAAGAUGCGUUCUUGAGACCUAGACUUCUAACGAAGCACAGGAUAGCUAACAUAUCUGAAUCUCAGGAUUGUGCUUCAGAAACUCUCAUCUUCUAGGUCUGCCUCUAUUUGCUACUUUCUGACAAGUACUUGACCUCACGGCAUCUCCACUCCUGUCAAUCAAUCGAGAGCAACUAUGUUCAGUGCCGUCUAUGUCCUAGAGGUUCUCACCAUGAAGAAUUUGUAAAUAAAAAGUACUAUGAAAACGACAA
rnacentral:lncRNA from 1 species